UGGGCAGCGAGGCGGUGCGGCCGGAAGCGAAGGGGCCGUGAGGUCAACAGUCGGUAAUCGUUUAUCGAGUUUCACUCUUGUUGCCCAGGCUGGAGUGCAAUGGCGUGGUCACAGUUUACUGCAGCCUCGACCUCCGGGGUUCAAGCGAGCCGCUCGCCUCCGCCUUGUGAGUAGCUGGGACUACAGGUCUUUGGAUAAUAACUUGUCCCUUUCAACCGAUUGCCAAUGAGAAACUUUAAAAUCUACCUAUGACCUGGAACACCCCCACCCACCCCAUUUCAAGUUGUCCCACCUUUCUGAACUGUCACGUGUGUCCGUAGAGAAGACCACCUAAACAGGUUUUGUGUGUGAGUGGCGGUCUGAACGGAGAAGUUCAAUAGUUUUGAUUGCAGAGCCUACGCAGGAGAGAUAAUGGAACAAAUUCCACUGAGCUAUCCUCAAGGUCACAGAUUCCAUCCUCUGUCACCUCCAUUUCAUUGAGAUGAUAUAUUGAGCCCAUGCGUAGCCUUUUAUUUGAGAUUUCCAAGGCCAGCAAUGUUCUCUUCCUCUCCCUUUUCUUUGUAUAAAAAUUCAUUCUCAAGAAAAACUCUAUUAUCAAUUGUUUACAUGUCACUAUGGCUAAGACACUAAAAGCCCUCUCCCUGCAAAACUGGUGGCAAAGCUCUCUAGAGAACCACAAACUGUUGCAUCCUUACUACGUGGGGCAGCAGCAAGCCCAGGUGAAGAUGUGCAUGUUCUUGGAGAAAGUAUUAAUAACAUACCGACACUUACAUCUGGGUGAAUAAUUUCAUCAAAUCUCUUAACUCACACUUGCACAAACUUCACCUGGAAAGAGAGAGGGAAAGCUGUGCCAGAAAUAAAUGGUUAUUGAGGUCA